rnacentral:rRNA from 1 species
GUGGGGAAUAUUGCACAAUGGGCGCAAGCCUGAUGCAGCGACGCCGCGUGGGGGAUGACGGCCUUCGGGUUGUAAACCUCUUUCACCAUUGACGAAGGUCCGGGUGUUCUCGGGUUGACGGUAGGUGGAGAAGAAGCACCGGCCAACUACGUGCCAGCAGCCGCGGUAAUACGUAGGGUGCGAGCGUUGUCCGGAAUUACUGGGCGUAAAGAGCUCGUAGGUGGUUUGUCGCGUUGUUCGUGAAAUCUCACGGCUUAACUGUGAGCGUGCGGGCGAUACGGGCAGACUGGAGUACUGCAGGGGAGAUUGGAAUUCCUGGUGUAGCGGUGGAAUGCGCAGAUAUCAGGAGGAACACCGGUGGCGAAGGCGGGUCUCUGGGCAGUAACUGACGCUGAGGAGCGAAAGCGUGGGGAGCGAACAGG